AGAAGCAAGACCGUGAGGUGGAGCAAAACUCAAAAACUUGUCUCAGUUCGGAUUGUAGGCUGAAACUCGCCUACAUGAAGCUGGAGUUGCUAGUAAUCGCGAAUCAGCAUGUCGCGGUGAAUACGUUCCCGGGCCUUGUACACACCGCCCGUCACACCAUGAGAGUCGGCAAUACCCAACGUACGUGAUCUAACCCGCAAGGGAGGAAGCGUCCUAAGGUAGGGUCAGCGAUUGGGGUGAAGUCGUAACAAGGUACC
rnacentral:rRNA from 1 species